UUUUUUUUUCGAUCAGACAAUCCUUUUGUUCGCUAAGGCGAUUUUUGUUUGUUUGCAGGUGGAGAAAAGGUCAUAAAAGGUCUCAGUAAGGGUGUUGAAGGGAUGCGAGCUGGUGAUAAGAGAAGACUCAUAAUUUCACCAUCUCUUGGAUACUCAGGGGAAGGACUAAAGAAGGAAGAUGUGCCUAGAAUUCGUGGCUUGUCUAUGAAGUAGAGGCAGUAAAAGUGAGAGAUGUCACUGGCUCUUUUGAAACAAGUUUAUGCUUUUUUUUGUUUUUUUUCUUCUCGGGUCAUCUAUUUGUCUCA